AUUUAAAUAGUUUAAUAAAAAUAUUGAUUUGUGGAGUCAAAGAUAUUUCUUUAAUUUUAAAUU
rnacentral:tRNA from 1 species